CCUACGGGUGGCAGCAGUGAGGAAUAUUGGUCAAUGGACGCAAGUCUGAACCAGCCAAGUAGCGUGCAGGAUGACUGCCCUCCGGGUUGUAAACUUCUUUUAGUUGGGAAUAAAGUGGGGCUCGUGAGCCUCUUAUUGUGUGUUCUAUCAGAAAAAAUCCCGUCUAAUUCCGGGCCAGCAGCCGCUGUAAUACGGGGGCUGCGGGUGUUAUCCGUAUUUAGGGGUUUGAGAGGGAGCGUAGGCGGGAUUUUAGGUCAGGUGUGAAAGUUCGCGGCUCAACCGUGGAAUUGCAGUUGAAACUGGAAGUCUUGAGUGCAGAUAGGGAUGGCGGAAUUCGUGGUGUAGCGGUGAAAUGCUUAGAUAUCACGAAGAACUCCGAUCGCGAAGGCAAGUGAC
rnacentral:rRNA from 1 species